UGUUAGGGGUGUGUGAUAGCUGAAACGGUUUCGUUUUAGAGGAAAGUCCGAACUUCUAGAGAAUACAGUAGCGGGUAACGCCCGUCAAUAAUCGUAAGGUUAUUAGGACUAGUGCCACAGAGACGAGUCGGACUUCGGUUCGGGUGAAACGCGGUAAACUCUACUGGAAGCAAGAUCUAAUAGGGCUAUGUAUUAUGCAUUCUCUCAUAGUAGCCGGGUUGAUCGCACAGAACUUUGCAGUAAUGUAAAGUCUAGAUAAAUUAUCACGGGUGUUUUAACACUACAGAAUUCGGCUUAUAGCCCCUACAUUCU
rnacentral:RNase_P_RNA from 1 species